rnacentral:hammerhead_ribozyme from 1 species
ACUCAAAUGAUGAGUCCUAAAUAGGACGAAACAUGCAUCCUGAAU